GACGAACGCUGGCGGCGUGCUUAACACAUGCAAGUCGAACGGAAAGGCCCUGCUUUUGUGGGGUGCUCGAGUGGCGAACGGGUGAGUAACACUUGAGUAACCUGCCCUUGACUGUGGGAUAACUUAAGGAAACUGGGGCUAAUACCGGAUAGGAGCUCCUGCUGCAGGGUGGGGGCGGGAAAGUUUAGGCGGUUGGGGAUGGACUCGCGGCCUAUCAGCUUGGUGGUGGGGUAGUGGCUUACCAAGGCCUUGACGGGUAGCCGACCUGAGAGGGGGACAGGACAAGUUGGGACUGGGAUGCGACCCAGACUCGACCGGGAGGCAGGGGAGGAGAAUAGUAUACUAUGGGCGGAGGGAUGGUGUAACCACGCCGCGUGGGGGAAGUCGGGCUUGCGUUAGUGAAGCGCUGUCGCCUGUGACGAGACGUGAGUGACGGUAACGGGUAAAUAAGCACCGGCUAACUACGUG
rnacentral:rRNA from 1 species